rnacentral:tRNA from 1 species
GCAGGGAUAGCUCAGUGGUAGAGCAGAGGAUUGAAAAUCCUUGUGUCGUUCGUUCAAUUCGAACUCUCAGC